GAUCCUGCCAGCCCUCUCCUGGCCCGUUGCUGACUCAGUGUCUUAUCACCUGUCCUGUCCCCGGCCCUCCUCCUGGGAGAGGCCCCACAGUCCUCUCCAAGCCGCCACCAGCCUCUGUCCUCACUGCCAUCCGUGUGUGGCGGCCGGUCUCCAAGAUGGCCCCAGCGAUCCUACACUGAACCACGUCAGGGGCGAGUCGUCACUCAGCUGGAGUUACCAACGGGCCCCGGAAAGUGCACCCCCAACUCAGUGAGAAGAGGGUCUUGGCCUUUUGUCCCUGCUGGUGCCUCUUCCUUCCGACGCCUCAGACCCCAGCAGGACGCAGCACCUGUUUUCCACGCCGUGUGACCGAUUCCCGCACGUACAGUGGCUUAAACCACGCGCGCGUCUGUCACCGUGCAGGUGCGUGAGGUCAGAGGUCUGGGGACCGCGCAGCCGGGUCCUCUGCUUACUCACAGGGCUGCAGUUGGGCGGCGGCUGG
rnacentral:lncRNA from 1 species